CGUGCAUUGGUGGGGGCCCUCAGCCUGGCCUGUGCCCUCUAUCAAUGCACAGGCCAGGCUGAGGGACCCCACUGGUGCACA
rnacentral:pre_miRNA from 1 species